rnacentral:rRNA from 1 species
GGAUUAGAUACCCUGGUAGUCCACGCCGUAAACGAUGUGUGCUAGAUGUUGGAGGGCUUGCCCUUCAGUGUCGCCGUUAACGCAUUAAGCACACCGCCUGGGGAGUACGGCCGCAAGGUUAAAACUCAAAGGAAUUGACGGGGGCCCGCACAAGCGGUGGAGCAUGUGGUUUAAUUCGACGCAACGCGCAGAACCUUACCAGCCCUUGACAUGGGGAGUAUGGGCCUGAGAGAUCGGGUCCUUCAGUUCGGCUGGCUCCCGCACAGGUGCUGCAUGGCUGUCGUCAGCUCGUGCCG